rnacentral:rRNA from 1 species
GACUCUCGGCAACGGAUAUCUCGGCUCUCGCAUCGAUGAAGAACGUAGCGAAAUGCGAUACUUGGUGUGAAUUGCAGAAUCCCCGUGAACCAUCGAGUCUUUGAACGCAAGUUGCGCCCGAAGCCGUUUAGGCCGAGGGCACGUCUGCCUGGGCGUCA